rnacentral:rRNA from 1 species
AGCGAACGCUGGCGGCAGGCCUAACACAUGCAAGUCGAACGAACCUUCGGGUUAGUGGCGGACGGGUGAGUAACACGUGGGAACGUGCCCUUUGGUACGGAAUAACUCAGGGAAACUUGAGCUAAUACCGUAUGUGCCCAUCGGGGGAAAGAUUUAUCGCCAUUGGAGCGGCCCGCGUUGGAUUAGGUAGUUGGUGAGGUAAAGGCUCACCAAGCCUACGAUCCAUAGCUGGACUGAGAGGAUGAUCAGCCACAUUGGGACUGAGACACGGCCCAAACUCCUACGGGAGGCAGCAGUGGGGAAUCUUGCGCAAUGGGCGAAAGCCUGACGCAGCCAUGCCGCGUGAAUGAUGAAGGUCUUAGGACUGUAAAAUUCUUUCACCGGGGACGAUAAUGACGGUACCCGGAGAAGAAGCCCCGGCUAACUUCGUGCCAGCCGCCGCCGUAACAC